rnacentral:rRNA from 1 species
AUACGGAGGGAGCGAGCGUUAAUCGGAAUUACUGGGCGUAAAGCGCGCGUAGGCGGCUUUGUAAGUCGGAUGUGAAAGCCCCGGGCUCAACCUGGGAAUUGCAUUCGAUACUGCAGAGCUAGAGUAUGGUAGAGGGAAGUGGAAUUUCCGGUGUAGCGGUGAAAUGCGUAGAUAUCCGGAGGAACAUCAGUGGCGAAGGCGACUUGCUGGACUAAUACUGACGCUGAGGAGCGAAAGCGUGGGGAGCAAACGGGAUUAGAUACCCCAGUAGUCC